rnacentral:lncRNA from 1 species
UUGGCUAUGUCCUCACCAAAAUCUCAUCUCAAAUUCCCACAUGUUUUGGGAAGGACCUGGUGGGAGGUAAUUGAAUCACUGAAUCAUCAUUAUCGUGAGAAAAGCAGGUCUUUCACAUGCUUUUCUCCUGAUAGUGAAUAAGGCUCAAGAGAUCUGAUGGUUUUAUAAGUGGGAGUUUCCCUGCACAACCUCUCUCUCUCUCUUUGCCUCCUGCCAUUCAUGUAAGACAUGACUUACUCCUCUUUGCCUUCCACCAUGAUUGUGAGGCCUCCCUAGCCCUGUGGAACUUGGUCUGAUGCAGAACUGAAAAGGCCAACACGAGAAUCUUCAAGUACAAUUGCCUGGGAAUCCUGAGGUCUGGACAGCAACACCUGAAUCUGAAUCUCUUUUGGGUUGAAUCAUAAAAGAAAAUAGUAUGGAGAGAUUUAAGGCCAGGCCUCUGGAGAAGGAAUUGAUAAAAUAUGUGGUAGUACCUGCGCUACAGAACAGAAUUCACUUGGAAGUUCUUGGCAUAUAAAUGAAAACAGAUGGGCUGGGAAGCCAGUGGAUCAAAAGAAGGACCUGGGGGAAGCUCAGCUUGGGGACCGGCUUGCUCUUUGCCCUCACUAUUUGUCAACUGGGAAUCUCCUGGGUGCUCAGCUGUGCUGGAAUCUCAGAUGAGUAAAUUGAAGCCCAGAAAGGCCAAGAAACUUGAACCAUUUAGGUGAAGAAGAGUGCUCACCAGAUUCCCUUCUGGUCUGGAAAAAGAAAUCCCUUCUUUUGUGGAUGUCAUCUCUACCAUCUCUCGGUGAAAAAUAUUUCAAGAGAAUCCUAAGAUGGAGAGAGCAUUGGAAGUCAUCCGGCCCAAUUCCCUUGUGCAAUUCAAAGCUUCUUUGUAAGAAAAAUGCCCCCAGAAGUUUGUUUGCAUCAUGAAGAUCAGAUUUUGAGGAUCCAGUCUGGCUCUUCCCUGUACAAAACAUUCCUCACAAACAGAAUAUGGACAAUUGUUAAAUGUCAAAGGUAAAGUUAUUGUGGGAACUCCUUCAAAAAGUUCAAGUGAGAGCCCAUUCUAUGAAUGACCAUUUACAUCUAAUUUUUUUCUGUGCUAUGUUACUUAUUCUGAAGUGGUUGAUCCAAUUCCUAAAAGGGAAUAUUUCAUUACCUUUUAUUUCCUAUAGCAUCCAUUCUGACCCCUUUUCGGUUUAAUUAUUCCCUGAUUCCAGUCUUCAUUCACUCAUUUAUUUGAGGAAUAUUUAUUGACCAACAACUAUGCCAGGUCCCAUUCUAUGUGUAGGGACUAUAAAGUUGAACAAGACAGAGGAGGUACUGGCCUCAGAAUUUACAUUCUAGUAGAUGAGAAAGUAAAAAUAAACACAUGAAAACAUGAAUGAACCGGAUAUUGUAGACUGUGAUAGGUGUAGUUUGGGUAAAGCACAGAGUGCAGUAGUAAAGAUAAACUGCACUCAGAGUGGGGCUAUUUUAGAUGGAAUGGAGAUCUCUGAGGAAAUGAAAUUUGAGCUGAGACCUAAAAGGUCACCCAAGGACUCAUGGGAAAACUCAGUUGUUUCUAUCAAAAUUUAGCUUCAUGAACUCCAGGCCCUUGCAAAUGAUGGUUACCAGGUGAGAAAUGUCUCACUGGCAACAGAGGUUGGCAGACCCAGCUCCAGUUCCAUCCCAGCCAACAUACCAAUGUCAUUAAAAUAAGGCCAUUCAUCAAGGUGGAGACUAUUACUAGAAACAAGCAUUCUAAAGUGCCAUUUGAGUGCCAGGCUCUCAACACUGGGCGUAGCACUGCUCCAUGAGGCUUUUGAGAGCAUAUACUGAGGCAUGACCAAAAAAAUUAAGUCCCAUGUAAGUGAUGCAACUGCUCCCCAAUUACUGUGGAAGUAUCUGCAGACUAACUAUUGUGCGUGUGUGUUUGUUUGCUUUAAUGAAUAAAUUCAGUCAACC